rnacentral:lncRNA from 1 species
GUCCAAAGCUACCCAAGCAGAAGCCCACAGAGGCCCCGGCUAUUACAUCCUCCCCUGGGAAGGAACGAGGCACGGGCCGUGGUUCUAACAUCCAGCACCAGCUGUGCCAAGCGCCCUUCACACCCACCGCAGCGCAGCGUUCCCCUGCGCACGCACCCAGAGGGCACCAGCAGCCCUCCCCGUUCCUACACACACCAGAGCAUCACAGAGUUCCCAACCUCCAGCACAGGACAGGCUGCUCUGUACCGUACAGCACAGAGCAGCUGAUCCGAUACGAAAUCUGAGCAGUAGCAAUACACACUUUAUGUCGAACUGUGUCGCACAACGUAAAAACGCGCUUAUCCCCAGACUGCAAUGUAUCACUUACUUAAAAUAUUGGCUUCAAUAUUUAACAUUUUCAUUUUUCUGUCACACGUUUACAGCUCUAUUUUAAAAUUAAGUGACACCACAAUUUAUCAAACGCUAAGGUUAUGCCUGGAGCUCCUGUGUCAAGCUGAACGUUUUUAGUGAGUAGCACUCACAGUCACGGAGAACGGGCAAACAGGGUGUGCUAAGCUACCCUCCCCACUGAACUUCCUUCAGAUAAGUAAAAACCAGCAAAUUGGGAUUACAGUGGUUGAACCGAGGCAGAGGAGCUGAUUCCCCAGAGCACUGCAUCCCAGGCAGGUCCUGGUGCCCAGCUCGCAGCAGCACCACUCCUUGGCAAUGGCUUGCUGCGCCAAGCCCACGCUGCGCUAUUUCCACGGGUUCUCCCCUUCUGGUGGAGGAGUGCCCACCCACCGAUAAUAAUAACCACUACGAGCUUUCCAGGCUAGCAUGAGCUCACGAAGAAAUACCCGAGAGCACCCCCUCUGCCCUGCCGGAGCUGCCUAGCUGGGGAGCCGGGAGCACCCACGGCCCCGGCGCUGCGCAGGGUGAGGCUGCUGCGGAGCAAACACCCUUCUGGCUGGCACAGCCCUCCCGAGUGCUUUUGCUGUUACCAGGUCUCUUAUUUCGAAAGAGAGUAAAAUUGGCUGGAUUAAAUAAACCAGAAAUUGCAGAGAGCAAUCGCACAUUGCUUAUCUUCUAGAGAAGGUCUUGUGCUCCUGUUCCCACGGGAAUGAAGUGCUCCAACAUGUUGUCUCUGCAAACCUUCACCGCUGUUAUUAAAACCCAGAACUAGUGAAAUGGAGGUAAAAGCGCUUUCAUAGAUAUUUCAGCAC